UACGUAGGGGGCGAGCGUUAUCCAGAUUUACUGGGCGUAAAGCGCGUGUAGGCGGCUGGUUAGGUGUGAUGUGAAAUCCCCGGGCUCAACCCGGGAACUGCGUCCGAUACUGGAAGGCUUGAAUCCGGGAGAGGGAUGCGGAAUUCCAGGUGUAGCGGUGAAAUGCGUAGAUAUCUGGAGGAACACCGGUGGCGAAGGCGGCAUCCUGGACCGGCAUUGACGCUGAGGCGCGAAAGCCAGGGGAGCAAACGGG
rnacentral:rRNA from 1 species